rnacentral:lncRNA from 1 species
CUUGCAGGUCUUAUUGGUGCUGGAUAUUAUUUCCACUUCCAAAACUCGAGGGUCAAACACGGAGCCAAACCAAUCAAUUCAACGAGAAACGUGCUUCAUCAUGGCAUGACCUUCGUGCUGAUCAGACUACUGUGGACAGCCUUGGUAUGUUUUGCAAAUAACCGGAGUAUUGAGAAUGACAUGAGAUAACAUGGAGGAGAAGUAAAAUACAUGAGCACAAUAUGAGAUCUUGUUUUGCCCCCAUUAGGUUAUGAAUGUUGUGUCCUCAUCUGCGAAAUGCAUAUGGAGAGGGAGGGCUAUGUUCACCACCACUGACUUUGUACAAUAUGUAAAAGAUAGGCUGUUUUGGAGAUGGGCCCGAUCAGUGCACACGGCCAUAACAUGGAGAGAAAAGUGAGAAAGAAUAAAGUAUUUUGAUACAUUUUAUACUUGUUUUUUUCCUCUUAAAUUUCUUUUUCAGACGUAUUACUUUGAGCAGUUUGAAAGUGUAUUAGACGAACUGCUGCUUAGGCUUGAUGCAAUUACUAACCAAACACUGCCCUCUGAAGUCUAUCGCUAUGAACAGGACAGUCCCAUCUCAUCGAAGCAGGAAAACUCAAAAACAGACACACUGGAUUAUCCAGAGACCAGUAUGCAGGAACCACUGGCCUACUUUCAUUCAGAAGUGUCUGAUCUUCAGUCAAAAGAACAAACAAGACGCAAAUAUCAAAAGGAUUAUGCUGCUCCAUAAAGUACAUAAGGAUGGAACUAAAUGUGAUAAAAACCCAGCAGAAAGGCAAGUGGGAAAAUCAAAGGGACAAUGCACUCUGGCAUCACUCCAGCCCGUGUCUGCAGAGGAGGUUGUGGAAGUGCUGAUCCAUGAAGAACAAGACACAGAUCUUUAGCACAAUGUUAAAGGCAAUAACUUCAUAAAUCAAUAAAACUAUUUAGUGUCCAUCACUUGUUUUUUGUUGUUGUUUUUUUCAAAUCUG